GGGGAAGGAACUAACAGGGAUUCUCUUAGUAACGGCGAGUGAACAGAGAUUAGCCCAGCACCGAAGCCUACGCUGCUUAAGCGUAAGGCAAUGUGGUGUUUAGGUUUAAACCUGGGUGUGGUGACUAGCUCUAAGUCCAUUCUUGAAAAUGGCUUUUGCUUAAACGGGUGAUAGCCCCGUAAGAGUUAGUCUUGUGAUUACCAUGCCUCAGAUGUUUAUACCUUAGAGUCGGAUUGCUUGAGAAUGCAGUCCAAAGUUGGUGGUAAACUCCAUCAAAGGCUAAAUACCUGCGUGAGUCCGAUAGUUCACAAGUACCAUGAGGGAAAGUUGAAAAGUACUCUGAAGAGA
rnacentral:rRNA from 1 species